AUACUUACCUGAGAAGGGAGAUACCAUGAUCACGGAGGUGGUUUCCCCAGGGUGAAGCUUAUCCAUUGCACUCUGGAUGUGCUGAUCUUUGCGAUUUCCCCAAAUGUGAAAAACUCAACUGCAUAAUUUAUGAUAGUGGGGGACUGCGUUCGUGCUCUCCCCUG